rnacentral:rRNA from 1 species
CUUGGGUAUCAGAGUUUAUUAAUUAAAUUUUUUUUUAUAAAAAAUUCUCGAAUUUAAAAGAGAGAAAUAAAUAAUAAAUUUAUUGUUGCAAAAAUAUUUUUAAUAUUUAUUUAGAAAUGAAAUGUUAAUCGUUUUUAAAGAUAUCUAGUUUUUUUAGAAAAAAAUUUAAUUUUAAAUUUUUAUUAUUAAUAAAUAAAUUGAUUUAUUUAUUAAAUAAAUUUUUUUAUAAUUUAAGGGAUAAGCUUUAAAUUAAAUUUUUAUAAUAAAUAAGUUUAAUUAAUAAAAAUUUUAUAAUUUAUAUUUUUAAUAAAUUUUAAUUUUUUAUAAAUAAUUUUAUUAAUAAAAAAAUUUCAUUUAAAAUUUAAUUUUUUAUAAAAAAAUAAUUUUUAAUUAAAUAAAAUUAGUUAUAAUGAUAAAAUUAGUACAUUGAUAAUUUAUAAUUAAGAUAAUAUAUUAAUUUAUAAAAAGGAAUUCGGCAAAAAUUUAUAUUUACCUGUUUAUCAAAAACAUGUCUUUUCGAUAAUAAUUAA